rnacentral:rRNA from 1 species
GAUGAACGCUAGCUACAGGCUUAACACAUGCAAGUCGAGGGGCAGCAUUUUUAUUGAAGCUUCGGCAGAUUUAGCUUGUUUCCAGUGGCGGACGGGUGAGUAACGCGUGGGUAACCUGCCUCACACUGGGGGAUAACAGUCAGAAAUGACUGCUAAUACCGCAUAAGCGCACGGAACCGCAUGGUUUUGUGUGAAAAAACUCCGGUGGUGUGAGAUGGACCCGCGUUGGAUUAGCCAGUUGGCAGGGUAACGGCCUACCAAAGCGACGAUCCAUAGCCGGCCUGAGAGGGUGAACGGCCACAUUGGGACUGAGACACGGGCCCAGACUCCUACGGGAGGCAGCAGUGGGGAAUAUUGCACAAUGGGGGAAACCCUGAUGCAGCGACGCCGCGU